CCGCCCCGCGCCCCGCAGCUGGCCGGUUUCGGGAACUGUGGGUGAGGGUCUGGGCUUGAGAAGCGAUUUGGGCGAAGAACUACAGUGUCUUUAGAAAAGCGUCUAAGCAACCACAGGAAGGAAAACUAGCUGGACGCCUCACUUACCGGUUUCGGAUCCUUCCUCCUUUCCUUGGGGUUUGCUAGCUGGCACGCUGGGCCCGGGGGACUGCGAAGGCUCCCCAAACCUCCGGAGCCUGUUUCCUCCCCGAUAAAAGGAGUUGGCCGCACUUUGCUUUCAUGGCCUGUCAAGGUACUGUUCUGGAAGCUUGGGAGCACAGCAGUGAACCAGCACCGUGCCUGCCCACAUGGAGCUUCCUGGAGCAGGGAUUAAUGAGAAAUGCAGGUCACAGCAUGUGGUCCUACUGCAGGGUCAGCAGGUCAUGGGCACUUCCUUGUCUAGCCACCAGCGGGACCAACCCAGAAACCAGAAGUAACAGCUGGAGACUCAUACAAAUUGCUCCUGUGCACAGAUGGUCAUCUCAGCAUGUCGUUGAAGCCUGCAAAGGACAUCCCAGCAGGAGUACUUCUGGAUAUGGAGGACGCUGAGGCGGCGGCCAGGGCCCAGCGGGACCCGAGGAAUAGCCGCGGGGCUGUCGGUAAAGAUGUAGUAACACACCCAGUAACCCUGCAUGAAGAACUGCUCGGCUGACUCCAGGAAGGGCUGGACGAAGCUGGUGUACCUGGUGGUCAGGACCCCGUCACCCACUGCAGCCUUGGUCCCCACCAUGUGCUGGCACCACACAGGGUUUGGGGGCGGCCAGGCUGGGGUUCACCUCCCCCUUUCCCACCCCGAGAAGUCCCUCGGUCUGACGCUUGGGGUCCUCCCUCACCUGCCAGAUCCCCACAGUCGCAGCACCAGUCUAUUACAGCUGUUGUAAGAAGGAUA